rnacentral:rRNA from 1 species
CUUGUCUCAAGCUUAAGCCAUGCAAGUGUAAGUUCACGCCACGCAUUAGAACGGGCGAAACCGCGAAUGGCUCAGGAACCGGACCUAAUCCUCGGGACCGUAAUCCUCCUCCUGGAGGCGUUGGAUAACUGUGGCAAUUCUAGAGCUAAUACAUGUGACACCAGCCGCGAUCGGUCGGCGCGCAGCCGUCGCCCUCGCCUUCACUGCGCGUGGGCACCCGCGUCGAUCGUUACGGGUCGCGGCGCUACAUAUUAGACUGAGACCGAUGCGCGUACUUCCGUCCUCCCGUUCGUUGCGCCCGGCCGCCUCGCGGCGACCGGGUUGCGCGGCGGGGUUACUAUGGGCGGCGCGCUCCGCUUUGGUGACUCUGGAUAACUCACUGGUCGAUCGCACCGGCUUUUACGCCUGGCGACGGGUCUCUCGAGGGUCCGCCCUAUCAACUGUCGACGGUCGGUUAAGUGCCUACCGUGGUUACUACGGGUAACGGGGAAUCGGGGUUCGAUUCCGGAGAGGGAGCAUGCGAAACGGCUACCACAUCCAAGGAAGGCAGCAGGCGCGCAAAUUACCCACUCCCGGCACGGGGAGGUAGUGACGAAAAAUAACGACGCGGGACUCUGUCGAGGCCCCGCGAUCGGAAUGAGUACACUUCAAAUCCGUUAACGAGGACCAACCGGAGGGCAAGUCUGGUGCCAGCAGCCGCGGUAAUUCCAGCUCCGGUAGCGUAUAUUAAAGUUGUUGCGGUUAAAAAGCUCGUAGUCCGAACUCGGGUUCGUGGUCGCUCGCGCGGCCCCGGGGCGGCGGCGCCAUCGUCCGUCGUUGACUUUGGUCGUCCGUUCGCAUUCCCGGCCCUUUCCGCCGGUGUCGACUGCCAUGUACAUCCGCCUCGCGGUCCUGCCGGCGAAAAUCUUUUGCUCGGAUGGCGUCCGGGGCGGUCAAAGGGCGUUCGAAUCGGGCCUUCGGGUCCCCUCCGUUCGUCCUCGUCCCGUUCUCGUCGCCGUGCAAUGUUUCGUCGCGCGCGCGUGUUUGCGGUCGGGCGGUUUCUCCUCCAAGGGUGCUCUUAACCGAGUGUCCGCGGCGGCCGGUACGUUCACUUUGAAAAAAUUAGAGUGCUCAGAGCGGGCUGUUCAAGCUUGCAUACGAUAAGCAUGGAAUGAUGGAAGAGGGCCUCGUCUACGUCUGUCGGUCUCCGUCUACGGCGAGGCAAUGAUCGAAGGGAGCGGUCGGGGCCACUCGUAUUGCGACGUUAGAGGUGAAAUUCUUGGAUCGUCGCAAGACGAACUGCAGCGAUGGCGUGUGGCAAGCACGUUUUCCUCGAUCAAGAGCGAAAGUCGGAGGUUCGAAGACGAUCAGAUACCGUCGUAGUUCCGACCGUAAACGAUGCCGACCGGCGAUCCGCCGGCGUUCGCUUCCAUGACCCGGCGGGUAGCCUGCGGGAAACCAGAGUUCGGUUCCGGGGGGAGUAUGGUUGCAAAGCUGAAACUUAAAGGAAUUGACGGAAGGGCACCACCAGGAGUGGAGCCUGCGGCUUAAUUUGACUCAACACGGGAAAACUCACCCGGUCCGGACACCGGUAGGAUUGACAGAUCGAUAGCUCUUUCUCGAUUCGGUGGGUGGUGGUGCAUGGCCGUUCUUAGUUGGUGGAGCGAUCCGUCUGGUUGAUUCCGAUAACGAACGAGACUCCGGCCUGCUAACUAGUGCGCCGAUGUGUGUGCGUUUUUUGCUACGGCGGGCUCGGGCCGUGCGUGUUCGUCGCGCGUUGUUUCGCGCGUGCGUCUGCGUUCGUUUCGUUUCUCGCGCGUCGGUCGGCGGCUGCUGCGGUGGGGCUCGUCUCUUCCGCGGUCGUCGUCCCGGCGUCGGGGGGCCGGCGGGCGUGGGCGUCCUCGACGGCGUGCGGUCGUGCGUGCGGUUUACGCCGGGUCCGGGUCGGUUUUCUCACGCACUUCUUAGAGGGACGGGUGGCAGAAAGCCACACGAGGCGGAGCGAUAACAGGUCUGUGAUGCCCUUAGAUGUCCGGGGCCGCACGCGCGCUACACUGGAGGUAUCAGCGGGGACUUCGCCCCGGCCCGAGAGGGCUGGGAAACCUCUCAACCACCUCCCGUGAUAGGGAUCGGGGCCUGUAACCAACCCCGUGAACGAGGAAUUCCCGGUAGGCGCGGGUCAACAGCCCGCGUCGAUCACGUCCCUGCCCUUUGUACACACCGCCCGUCGCUACUACCGAUCGAACGGUCCGGUGAGGUCCUCGGAUCUGGCCGACGACGCCGCCGGGCUGCCUGGCGGGUCUGGGGAGGGGGCUUCGCGCUUCCUUCGUCCGCCGCUUGUGUCGCCUCGGCGUUCGACGCCUGGAGAAGACGACCGAACCCGAUCGUUUAGAGGAAGUAAAAGUCGUAACAAGGUUUCC